rnacentral:lncRNA from 1 species
AUGGAACUAAUUAUUUUCAUUCACGUGCUCGAAAGACAAAAUAUCAUCAUCUUUUCAUCUAAAUGUAAAUUGGAAAAGGCCAUUGGAUCUCUCUAAUGCAACUGGGUCCUCUUCAGCCUGGAAAAGUACUGAAAACUAGCAGCCAACCACGUAACUCCAAUAUCUUCAAGCACGGGAAUGUGAGCCCGAUCGACCUGGCCAAUUCAAUUAGCCGUUAAUGCCGUGGCAACUUACUUAGCCAACUCAUUCAACUCUAAGCCGAUUGACCGAACCAACUCCGACCCAUUGCAUCCGGUCGACCUUCAAGAAUCAACAACGUCCAUAUCAAAGGGAUGGCCAUGGGCCCACCGAAGAAAAAUAAGUAAAUAAAUAGGUAUCCAUGCCAACCUCCCACAUACUCAAAAACAUACAUUCAUGGGUCGGCCAUGACCAUGAAGCUAUAUGUGAAGACGCCGUUGAGGGGAUGAACGGAUUCAAAGGCAGCCAAGUUGGCAUAAAGCCGUGCCGCAAAUUGGUUCCUCCCACCCAACUGCUCUCUCCCCCAUAACGCUAGCUGCUGGAAGGAAGACUAACAAGAAGUCAUUAUACCACGCGAUUUUGAACACCUCUCCUCUCUCUCUCUCUCUCUCUCUCUCUGNNNNNNNNNNNNNNNNNNNNCUCUCCUCUCUCUCUCUCUCUCUCUCUCUCUGAAUUGUAUCCCUCGAAUCAGUGUAGGGUAUAAUUUCUCUGUUCUCAGGCUCGUGCAUGUCGGCUUUGUCAACGUCCUAAUCUUAUGAGGACAAAGCCUUCUCUUGUUGAAUAAAAAAAAAAAUCCAAGACAAGACAAAGACGAGAGCAUCCCAUUUGUUAUCCCGCAUUUAAAACACGUUUGCGUCUACGUCCCUUUCGUCCAGCAGUACCACUCAUAGACCUUCCACCUCUUCCACAGCAUAGCUAGCCACCCCUUUUCCCCCUCCUUUUACUCUCUGCACCAUUCCCCUUAUCCCUCCUCCUCCUUUUCUCUCUCAAGUGUUCUUCUUCUUCUACGUCUCCCUCAAUCUCUUUAUAUAUGAGAUAGAUCCUAUCAUGGUUGGCCGAAAAAAGUCGUGCCAUAGCAUCAUCCUCGUACUACCCUUUUGUACUUGUUGUAUCGUAGAAUCUGAUCUCGGCGAUCGGAGGAGUUGAUAUUUGCUGCGCAUGGAUUGCCUCCAAGACUGGCCCGAACCAGUCGUCCGCGUCCAGUCCCUGUCGGACAGCGGCGCCAACACGAUCCCCGGCAGAUACGUAAAGCCGCCCUCCGACCGCCCUUCUUCGGCCCCGUGCGCCGACCUCAGCAUCCCUGUCGUCGACCUCGCCUCGCUCGCCGGAGAUGGCACCGUCGACUGCGCGGCGGUCGUCCAGGCGGUGUCGAGCGCGUGCAGGGACUGGGGGUUCUUCCAGGUGGUGAACCAUGGGGUGGACCCAGGUUUGAUGAGAAGGAUGAGGCAAGUGUGGAGGGGCUUCUUCCACCUACCCAUGGAAGCGAAGCAGGUGUAUGCCAAUUCCCCGAAGACUUACGAGGGCUACGGCAGCCGCCUCGGGAUCCAGAAGGGUGCCAUUCUCGACUGGGGUGACUACUACUUCCUCCACGUCCUCCCCCAAUCCCUCAAAAGCCAUACCAAGUGGCCCGCCCUUCCUUCUACCUUGAGGUAUUAACGAACCAUGUUCUUUCUCGUUCUUUAAAAACCAUCGGAUCGAUUAUUCUUCUUUCUCUUAAAGUUGAAGAUGGCAUAUGUCCAACAUAAUGAAAAAGAAAGCAAUAUUAAACAUACCGGUCGAUUUGGAUCAGCAGGGAGACUACCGACGAGUAUGGACAUGAAUUGAUAAAGCUGUGCGAGAGAGUGAUGAAGGUGCUGUCGUU